rnacentral:rRNA from 1 species
UACAGAGGUCCCAAGCGUUGUUCGGAUUCAUUGGGCGUAAAGGGUGCGUAGGCGGCGCGGUAAGUCGGGUGUGAAAUCUCGGAGCUUAACUCCGAAACUGCAUUCGAUACUGCCGUGCUUGAGGACUGGAGAGGAGACUGGAAUUUACGGUGUAGCGGUGAAAUGCGUAGAUAUCGUAAGGAAGACCAGUGGCGAAGGCGGGUCUCUGGGCCGAAACUGACGCUGAGGAGCGAAAGCGUGGGGAGCAAACAGG